UACAGGGGGGGCAAGCGUUGUUCGGAAUUACUGGGCGUAAAGUGUGCGCAGGCGGCCGCGCAAGUCGAGUGUGAAAGCCCCGAGCUUAACUUGGGAAUUGCGCUCGAAACUACGUGGCUGGAGUGUGGCAGAGGAAGGUGGAAUUCCACGUGUAGCGGUGAAAUGCGUAGAGAUGUGGAGGAACACCGAUGGCGAAGGCAGCCUUCUGGGCCAACACUGACGCUCAUGCACGAAAGCGUGGGGAGCAAACAGG
rnacentral:rRNA from 1 species